CACCGCGGUUAUACGAGAGGCUCAAAUUGAUGCUCGUCGGCGUAAAGAGUGAUUACAGGAAUAUAAACAACUAAAGCCGAAUACCCCUCAGGCUGUUAUACGCAUCUGGGGAAAUGAAGCCCCAAAACGAAGGUAGCUUUAAUAUAUUGACCUCGAAUUCACGACAACUGAGACA
rnacentral:rRNA from 1 species